rnacentral:lncRNA from 1 species
CCACAUUUUCUUUAUCCAGUCUGCCAUUGAUGAGCAUUUAGGUUGAUUCCAUAUCUUUACUAUUGUGAAUAGUACUGCAAUAAACAUAUGUGUGCAUGUGUCUUUGUAGUAGAAUGAUAUAUAUUACUUUGGGUAUAUACCCAGUAAUGAGAUUGCUGGGUCGAGUGCUAUUUCUGUCUCUAGGUCUUUGAGGAAUCACCACACUGUCUUCAACAAUGGUUGAAUUAGUUGUCUUUUAAUGAAGUGAAAGUCAAAGAAAUAAGAUAGCCAAUGCCUAGACUAUAAAUGCAUAACAUUGUAUAUUUACUGUUAAAGAAAAAGUAGACAAGUUUCAUAAGUUGAUUUGUAAGUAAUAUAUUUAGGAGACUACAAAAAUUUUGAGACUGUGUAUAUCAUAGGAUGCUGUUUGUUUGUAUCCUCCAAAUAGGUAACAAGUCCAUAUGAGGCAUAGUUAAGUCUGUGGGUGCUUCAUUGAGGAGUAGAACCUUGAAAAGGUAAAAAAAAAAAAAAAAAAAAAAAAAAAAAAGAGAAAAAGAAAAAGAAUUAUGCUCAGAUAGCAUCUUUUCAGUGUAAAUUUUUCUAAUAACUAUAUUUAUUUUUACAGACUUCUGCCUUGAUGAACAAAUUCGAACACCAGUUUGAAAUAUUGGAUAUUCAAACACAACAAAUGGAAGAUAAAAUGAGUAACUCUACAACCCUAACAACACCACAAAACCAAAUGGAUAUGCUGCUUCAGGAAAUGCCAGAUGAAGCUAGGUAAGAAGUUAUCCAGGUGAUUGUGGAAAAUCUUGAUUUAGUAUCUAGAGGUUCUAAAAUGCUGUGAUAUAGAUGAAAAUAUUUCUCUUUUCCACGAAUUGCCAGAGUUAGGUUUGUGACCCUAGAAUUUAGUGUUUCAAGGGACUUUAAACAGUCAUCUAAUUCCUUGCCAUGCUCAUAAAAAUUUGACUGUGUUUCAAUCAUCUUAGUAUUUUCUUAAAAAUUUCUGGAAAUAGACUCAUUUAGUGUGUGUAAAGAAAUAGGCAAAGGUGAUCAAAGGAAGCAGGAAUGUUUAAACAAUUACCUAAUACCUACUGUUCGCUGCAUAUAUGAAAUAUAUGGUGUGUUUUGUUUUUUGUUUUUUUUAAAAAAAGGACCUUCCAAAAUAAUUCUGCUGUGAUUAGGCCAUUGAGUCAUAAGUCUAGUUUGAGUACUGCAAACUGAGCAAUAUGUGCAAAAUGUGCAAGGGGCUCAAAAGACAGCAGUAUUACACAUAAUGAUUUGGUUGUUUCUUUUAAGUAAAUAGUUCAUACCCUUUUGUGAUAUUGUUAUUGGAAAUAGGGUGUAUAAUACAAGCUGUUUAUUUCAGGCCCUUCAUGUCAUGGGAGAAUGACUUAUCUAUGACAUCUUUGCUAUAGAGGUCAUGUUGUAUCAUUAUUCUCUGGUGUAAUGUUUGCUUCAAGAUAAUGUAGUAGUAAAAAA